UUUUUCUCCCAUAUCUUUGCUACAUUAAAACAUACUUCACUUUCACUAUAAAUUACUAAACUUUGGCAGUUCCUAAUAUCUAUUAACAAGGAACAAACAAAAUUUGGAUGAAGCUGUCUAAAUAUGUGUGAAUCAGAGCUAAAUACGCAAGUAGAAGAAAACAAAGAUCCUUCCAGCUAACAAGCCUAGCAAGCUUCUAAAUACAGAGUGUGACUAUUAUACACAUGGCUGUUGAUAUAGACAAUUUUAUCUGCUUACCACCCAUAAAUGGGAUUUUCUACCUGUGGAGGCAAGAGAUGCAAGUCUUUACAAUGCUGCUUGUCAUAGUCCCGUGUCCCAGGUAUUGCUCCAGUACAGAGUCUAAGGAACUCAUUCCCAGUGAGACAAUAAUGGGCAAAUGCCAACCCUCCAUCAACCAUCUCAGACAUACUAGGCAAUGGAACUGCUUUUGCCAUGCUCUUUCUGUUAGUUUUGCUCAAUCUUGCAUCACCCUUGUCAUCAUUCAAGACUUUGUCUAGCUCAGAAUAUUGCAUAAAUCUCUGUGUUGCAGCCUCCCAUGAGAGAUUAUAUCUUUGCUCAGGUGUAAGAGGUUUAGGCUCAUUUGCUAAUGCUUCUUUCACUUUUGCAACAAAGUCCUCAGAUGUCUUGUAAGUCAAACAGUUUGGAAAUGACCUGAAGAACUCAUUUGAUGGGUGAUCCGCACACACAACAAAUUUUCCCAUUGCAAGCGCCUCAGCAGUCGCUGUGCAGAGCACAUCACUCACACUAGGAUUUAUGAAAACUUUGUACCCAAGAAGCGAAUCAUCUGCAUGGUCUCUCCCAUUCAGAAAGUUGACUUUCAAAUCCAACCUUUUAGCUGCAAUCUGAACUUCACGUGCAUCCUCUCCAUUCCCAAACACAUCCAAAUUGAAGCCAUCCAGUUCAUUUUUGUGCCUUGCUAGCAAAUCUAUCAACUCUCUGUAUCCCUUGGCCCAGACCAUCUUGCCUAGGAAAUAUGCUCCUUUUGAGAAGGCUUGCUGCCCAAGUUCCCUUUCUGCAGCAAUCUUUUCUCCAAUUUUCAAAAACUUAGGAUUCACACCAUGAACAUUGCAAAUCACGGACUUCGGUAAAUCCUGGGUGGCAGCAGAAAGGCGAAGAACCUUGUUACAAUAUGCUCGAAUAACCCAAUUGUUUAUAUGUUUGACAAAAAAAGCUUGCAGAGCCCCAUUCCUUUCCCUCUUGAUGUAUUCUAGGUA
rnacentral:misc_RNA from 1 species